rnacentral:rRNA from 1 species
UCAGGACGAACGCUGGCGGCGUGCUUCAUACAUGCAAGUCGAACGAGAAGUUGACUUCGGUCAAUGGAAAGUGGCGGACGGGUGAGUAAAAUGUAGAGAAUCUGCCCUAGAGAGGGGGACAACAGUUGGAAACGACUGCUAAUACCGCAUAUGAGCGUACCUGCAAUGGUAUUCUUGAAAGAUUUAUCGCUCUGGGAUGAGUCUGCAUCUGAUUAGUUAGUUGGCGGUGUAAUGGACCACCAAGACGACGAUCAGUAGCUGGUUUGAGAGGAUGAUCAGCCACAAUGGGACUGAGACACGGCCCAUACUCCUACGGGAGGCAGCAGUAGGGAAUUUUGCGCAAUGGGCGAAAGCCUGACCGCAAGCAACGCCGCGUGAUUGAAUAAGCCCUUCGGGGUGUAAAGAUCUGUCAGUGGGGACGAAACUUGACGGUACCCACAGAGGAAGCAUCGGCUAACUCCGUGCCAGCAGCUGC